UACAGGGGGCGCGAGCGUUGCUCGGAAUCACUGGGCGUAAAGCGUACGCAGGCGGGUCGAUAAGUCUGUUGUGAAAGCCCGGGGCUCAACUCCGGAAUUGCCUUUAAGACUGCAUCGCUAGAAUUGUGGAGAGGUAAGUGGAAUUCCGAGUGUAGAGGUGAAAUUCGUAGAUAUUCGGAAGAACACCAGUGGCGAAGGCGACUUACUGGACACAUAUUGACGCUGAGGUGCGAAAGCGUGGGGAGCAAACAGG
rnacentral:rRNA from 1 species